AUAAUAAACGGAAUAUAUUUUACACCAGUUUUUCAUUCAUUGCUUUGAAAUUGGUAAACUUAAUAAACGGUCGGCGCUACAAUUGGUGACAGCGGUGAACGAAUUUAAUUUUUAUUAAAUUGCCACUGAAAUUCUUUUGAUUUAAAAAUUAUUAAUACUCAAAGUGUAACUUGAUACACAAAGAGUUUUAACAAAAAGGGGG
rnacentral:lncRNA from 1 species